AAUAGAUACCCUGGUAGUCCACGCCGUAAACGAUGAGUACUAGUUAUUGGAGGUAUUGACUCCUUCAGUGACGCAGCUAACGCAUUAAGUACUCCGCCUGGGAAGUACGGUCGCAAGACUAAAACUCAAACAAAUUGACGGGGGCCCGCACAAGCGGUGGAUUAUGUGGUUUAAUUCGAAGCAACGCGCAGAACCUUACCUAAGCUUGAACUCCUACGAAUCCGGGGUAAUGCCUGGAGUGUCCGCAAGGAAAUGUAGUGAGAGGUGCUGCAUGGCUGUCGUCAGCUCGUGUUGUGAAAUGUUGGGUUAAGUCUCGCAACGAGCGCAACCCCUAUCGUCUGUUGCCAGCAUUAAGUUGGGCACUCUGACGAGACUGCCUGGGUUAACCAGGAGGAAGGUGGGGAUGACGUCAAGUCCUCAUGGCCCUUAUGUCUAGGGCUACACACGUAAUACAAUGGCGCGUACAAAGGGAAGCGAACUCGCAAGGGGAAGCAAAUCUCAAAAAGCGCGCCUCAGUUCGGAUUGGAGU
rnacentral:rRNA from 1 species